GCGUCGAUGGCAGAGUGGUCAAUUGCAGGAGACUGUAAAUCUCCCGGUCUUAGACCUACGUAGGUUCAAAUCCUACUAUUCCUG
rnacentral:tRNA from 1 species